rnacentral:rRNA from 1 species
UACGUAGGGACCGAGCGUUGUCCGGAAUCAUUGGGCGUAAAGAGCGUGUAGGCGGCCAAUUAAGUCCUGCGUGAAAUCUCGGGGCUCAACCCCGAGCGGUCGUGGGAAACUGGUUGGCUAGAGUGCGGGAGAGGAGAGUGGAAUUCCUGGUGUAGCGGUGAAAUGCGCAGAUAUCAGGAAGAACACCCGUGGCGAAGGCGGCUCUCUGGUCCGGUACUGACGCUGAGGUGCGAAAGCGUGGGGAGCAAACAGG